UCUCUCGUUUCCUUAGUUCGGAAAUGAGGCGGGUUCGGGUUACCCCCCGGGACGGAGGGAAAAGCCUGGGGAAGCAGGGAGGGCGGAGCCUAGGACAAAGUCUACGUCUCCAUGGGGACAACACUAUCU
ensembl:ncRNA T02C12.6 ncRNA